rnacentral:rRNA from 1 species
CCUACGGGAGGCAGCAGUGGGGAAUAUUGCACAAUGGGGGAAACCCUGAUGCAGCGACGCCGCGUGAGUGAAGAAGUAAUUCGUUACGUAAAGCUCUAUCAGCAGGGAAGAAACACUGACCUUACGGUCAGCAGACGGUACCUGAGUAAGAAGCCCCGGCUAACUACGUGCCAGCAGCCGCGGUAAUACGUAGGGGGCAAGCGUUAUCCGGAUUUACUGGGUGUAAAGGGAGCGUAGACGGUGCGCCAAGUCUGUAGUGAAAUGCCGCAGCUUAACUGCGGAACCGCUUUGGAAACUGGCGAACUAGAGUGCGGGAGGGGGAAGCGGAAUUCCUAGUGUAGCGGUGAAAUGCGUAGAUAUUAGGAGGAACACCGGUGGCGAAGGCGGCUUACUGGACCGUAACUGACGUUGAGGCUCGAAAGCGUGGGGAGCAAACAGGAUUAGAUACCCCAGUAGUC